UGGAAGUGAUGAAAUGACUUGGCCUGACCUUAAGUAAUGGAGGCAAGAAAACUGAUUUAAUGAGCCUGAUCC
rnacentral:snoRNA from 1 species